rnacentral:rRNA from 1 species
GACGAACGCUGGCGGCGUGCUUAACACAUGCAAGUCGAACGGUGAACCAGAGCUUGCUCUGGGGAUCAGUGGCGAACGGGUGAGUAACACGUGGGCAACCUGCCCCAGACUCUGGGAUAACCUCGGGAAACCGAUGCUAAUACCGGAUACGACCACUUCGGACAUCCGACGGUGGUGGAAAGUUUUCGGUCUGGGAUGGGCCCGCGGCCUAUCAGCUAGUUGGUGGGGUAAUGGCCUACCAAGGCGACGACGGGUAGCCGGCCUGAGAGGGCGACCGGCCACACUGGAACUGAGACACGGUCCAGACUCCUACGGGAGGCAGCAGUGGGGAAUAUUGCACAAUGGGCGAAAGCCUGAUGCAGCGACGCCGCGUGAGGGACGACGGCCUUCGGGUUGUAAACCGUCUUCUAGCAGGACGAAGCGAAAGUGACUGUACCUGCAGAGAAGCACCGGCUAACUACGUGCCAGCAGCCG